AUAAAUACGAUGCUGAGGAGUAGUACUUAUCUAUCCAUUUACAGAAACUUGCUGGUUGCUGAGAAGCAAGAAUGGCCAAUAAGGAACUCGCCUCGAAGUAGCCUUGAUGAAUCAAAUGAUUAGUCAAGGACGGCAACCGAUCGUUAUUCAGGAAAGUCUAUCAAGGAAUUGAUAGACAAAGGGCCAUGGCUUAUUUCGUCAUGAACAGGAGUGGUACCGCGUGAGCAAGUCUUUCGUCUCCAGU
rnacentral:ncRNA from 1 species